AUUGAACGCUGGCGGCAUGCCUUACACAUGCAAGUCGAACGGUAACAGGUCUUCGGAUGCUGACGAGUGGCGAACGGGUGAGUAAUACAUCGGAACGUGCCCAGACGUGGGGGAUAACGAGGCGAAAGCUUUGCUAAUACCGCAUACGAUCUAAGGAUGAAAGCAGGGGACCGCAAGGCCUUGUGCGUUUGGAGCGGCCGAUGGCAGAUUAGGUAGGUGGUGGGAUAAAAGCUUACCAAGCGGACGAUCUGUAGCUGGUCUGAGAGGACGACAAGCCACACUGGGACUGAGACACGGCCCAGACUCCUCCGGGCGGCAGCAGUGGGGAAUUUUGGACAAUGGGCGAAAGCCUGAUCCAGCAAUGCCGCGUGCAGGAUGAAGGCCUUCGGGUUGUAAACUGCUUUUGUACGGAACGAAAAGGCUCUGGCUAAUACCUGGGGCACAUGACGGUACCGUAAGAAUAAGCACCGGCUAACUACGUG
rnacentral:rRNA from 1 species